rnacentral:rRNA from 1 species
GCUUAUCACCAUUCCAGAUUGAAUAUACCCGAUCUCGUCUGAUCUCGGAAGUCAAGCAAUCUCGGGCUUGGUUAGUACUUGGAUGGGUGACCGCUUGGGAAUACCAAAAGUGAUAAGCA